UACGUAGGGAGCAAGCGUUUCCGGAAUCAUUGGGCGUAAAGCGCACGUAGGCGGUUCGUUAUGUCGGAUGUGAAAGCCCUUGGCUUAACCGAGGAAGUGCAUCCGAAACUGGCGAGCUAGAGUACUAAAGAGGAUCGCGGAAUUCCCGGUGUAGAGGUGAAAUUCGUAGAUAUCGGGAGGAACACCGGUGGCGAAGGCGGCGAUCUGGGUAGAUACUGACGCUGAGGUGCGAAAGCGUGGGGAGCAAACAGG
rnacentral:rRNA from 1 species